GACGAACCGUGCGAACGUUGUUCGGAAUCACUGGGCUUAAAGGGCGCGUAGGCGGGCCCCCUUGUCCGGGGUGAAAGCUUUCGGCUUAACCGGAAAAGUGCCCCGGAAACGGGGGGCCUGGAGGGAGGUAGGGGCAGCCGGAACUUCCGGUGGAGCGGUGAAAUGCGCAGAUAUCGGGAAGAACACCCGUGGCGAAGGCGGCUCUCUGGGACGGUACUGACGCUGAGACGCGAAAGCGUGGGGAGCGAACAGG
rnacentral:rRNA from 1 species